GACGAACGCUGGCGGCGUGCUUAACACAUGCAAGUCGAACGGAAAGGCCCUGCUUUUGUGGGGUGCUCGAGUGGCGAACGGGUGAGUAACACGUGAGUAACCUGCCCUUUACUUUGUGAUAACUUCAGGAAACUGGGGCUAAUACCGGAUAGGAGCUCCUGCUGCAUGGUGGUGUUUGGAAAGCUUCGGCGGUUGGGGAUGGACUGGCGGCUAAUCAGCUUGUUGGUGGGGUAGUGGCUUACCCAGGCUUUGAUGGGUAGCCGGCCUGGGAGGGUGACCGGCCACAUUGGGACUGAGAUACGGAGCAGACUGCUACGGGAGGCAGUAGUGGGGAAUAUUGCACAGUGGGCGGAAGCGUGAGGAAGCAACGCCGCGAGCGGGAAGACGGCCUUCGUGUUGGAAACCGCAUUAGCCUGUGACGAAGCGUGAGUGACGGUAAUAGGUAAAGAAGCACCGGCUAACUACGUG
rnacentral:rRNA from 1 species